rnacentral:miRNA from 1 species
UGCCAAUGGAGAUUUGCCCAG